rnacentral:rRNA from 1 species
AGUGAACGCUGGCGGUAGGCCUAACACAUGCAAGUCGAACGGCAGCACAGUAAGAGCUUGCUCUUACGGGUGGCGAGUGGCGGACGGGUGAGGAAUACAUCGGAAUCUACUUUUUCGUGGGGGAUAACGUAGGGAAACUUACGCUAAUACCGCAUACGACCUACGGGUGAAAGCAGGGGAUCUUCGGACCUUGCGCGAUUGAAUGAGCCGAUGUCGGAUUAGCUAGUUGGCGGGGUAAAGGCCCACCAAGGCGACGAUCCGUAGCUGGUCUGAGAGGAUGAUCAGCCACACUGGAACUGAGACACGGUCCAGACUCCUACGGGAGGCAGCAGUGGGGAAUAUUGGACAAUGGGCGAAAGCCUGAUCCAGCCAUACCGCGUGGGUGAAGAAGGGCUUCGGGUUGUAAAGCCCUUUUGUUGGGAAAGAAAAGCAGCAGGUUAAUACCCCGCUGUUCUGACGGUACCCAAAGAAUAAGCACCGGCUAACUUCGUG